GUCCCCAUCGUCUAGCCUGGUUAGGACACCAGGUUUUCAACCUGGCGGCAGGGGUUCAAAUCCCCUUGGGGACA
rnacentral:tRNA from 1 species